UGUGAUAAAAUCUUCUACUUUAUUAUGGU
rnacentral:sRNA from 1 species